rnacentral:rRNA from 1 species
GAUGAACGCUGGCGGCGUGCCUAAUACAUGCAAGUCGAGCGAACAGACGAGGAGCUUGCUCCUCUGACGUUAGCGGCGGACGGGUGAGUAACACGUGGAUAACCUACCUAUAAGACUGGGAUAACUUCGGGAAACCGGAGCUAAUACCGGAUAAUAUAUUGAACCGCAUGGUUCAAUAGUGAAAGACGGUUUUGCUGUCACUUAUAGAUGGAUCCGCGCCGCAUUAGCUAGUUGGUAAGGUAACGGCUUACCAAGGCAACGAUGCGUAGCCGACCUGAGAGGGGGAUCGGCCACACGGGAACUGAGACACGGUCCAGCCUCCUACGGGAGGCAGCAGUGGGGAAUCUUCCGCAAUGGGCGAAAGCCUGACGGAGCAACGCCGCGGGAGUGAUGAAGGUCUUCGGAUCGUAAAACUUUUUUAUUAGGGAAGAACAAAUGUGUAAGUAACUAUGCCCGUCUUGACGGUACCUAAUCAGAAAGCCACGGCUAACUACGUG